UACGGAGGAUCCAAGCGUUAUCCGGAUUUAUUGGGUUUAAAGGGUGCGUAGGCGGCCUGUUAAGUCAGGGGUGAAAGACGGUAGCUCAACUAUCGCAGUGCCCUUGAUACUGAUGGGCUUGAAUACACUAGAGGUAGGCGGAAUGUGACAAGUAGCGGUGAAAUGCAUAGAUAUGUCACAGAACACCGAUUGCGAAGGCAGCUUACUAUGGUGUCAUUGACGCUGAGGCACGAAAGCGUGGGGAGCAAACAGG
rnacentral:rRNA from 1 species